GAAAUAAAUUAAGGGCAGAUGGUGGAUGCCUUGACACAGUAAGGCGAUGAAGGACGGUGCGUAACUCCGAUAAGCCUCGGGGAGGUGUGUAGCAACCUUUGAUCCGAGGAUUUCCGAAUGGGUAAACCUGUUUCGGUGAUAAACCGAAACGGUCUCUCUCUAAUUUAGAGAGCGACAGCAAACCUAGGGAAGUGAAACAUCUCAGUACCUAGUGGAGAAGAGAGCAACAACAAACACUUUUCUUUUUCUUUUAAGUUUGAAGGAAAAGAAAAGUGUUGCGAUUCCCUUAGUAGUGGCGAGCGAAGAGGGAAUAGUCUAAACUGUUUACUUCAACGCAAGUUGGAGUGAAUAGGGUUAUAGGGAAAAUGCGGGAUUUAUCCGGAAAGCAAAAAAAAUUAAUCGAAGUAUCUGAAAAGAUACGCCAAAGAAGGUGAAAGCCCUGUAGAUGAAAAUUGUUUUUUCUUUCUGGCAUUUUUUCCUGAGUACUCCGAUGGCAGAAAGCUUUGGAGGAAGGUUCCGGAACUACUCCGGAAAGACUAAAUACUUACUGUGCUCGAUAGCGAACAAGUACCGUGAGGGAAAGGUGAAAAGAACCCCGGUGAGGGGAGUGAAAUAGAACCUGAAACCAUCAUGCCUACAAGGAAUCGGAGGGGUGCACCUUAUGGUGCUGCCCUGACGGUGUGCCUAUUGAAGAAUGAGCCGGCGAGUUUAUUCUUACCGCUUUAAUUAAGUUGCUGAAGGCGACGUAAUUAAAGGGAAACCAAGUGUUAAUAGCGCGUCUACACUAACUUGUAUUGGGUUGAGGAAACUUUUACCCAAUAUAAGUUAUUGUGUAAAGGUGGUAGGAAUAAGACCCGAAGCCAGACGAGCUUACCAUGACCAGGAUGAAUUCCAACGAAAGUUGGAAGGAGGUCCGCACCCGUGAGCUGUGCAAAACUCUGGGAGGAGUUGUGGUAAGGAGUGAAAAGCUAAUCGUGUCUGGGAAUAGCUGGUUCUCCCCGAAAUAGCUCUAGGGCUAGCGGUCUAUUUACUCUCGCGGGGGUAGAGCACUGGAUGGUAUGUAAAGGACGAAAGUCCAGCCUACCAAUCAAACUCCGAAUACCGCGCGACGUUAGUCGUGCCUUUUGGCAAGAUUACAAUAGACUAGUCAGACUACGGGGGCGAAGCUCCGUGGUCGAGAGGCAAUGAAUCCGGAUCGCAGUCUAAGGUCCCUAAAUAUAGAUUAAGUGUUGAAUCAAGGUGGUAAUUCACCAGAGACAGUUAGGAGGUUGGCUUAGAGGUAGCCAUCCUUUAAAGAGUGUGUAACAACUCACUAUCAGAUUUACUCUGUAAGCCGUAAGGCUUACAGAGUGGUGAAUUGCGCCGAAAAUUUAACGGGACUAAAAUCUAUUACCGAAGACGCGGUUCUACUCUAAUUUUAUUAGAGUAGAAGGUAGGGGAGCGUUUCCUAGGUGGUGAAGUUCUGGUGUGAACCGGGAUGGAACCUAGGGAAGUGAGAAUGCCGGCAGGAGUAACCACAAGUCCGAUGAGAAAUCGGACCCCCGAAAACCCAAGGUUUCCUUGGCAAUGGAAAUCAGCCAAGGGUUAGGCGACCCUAAGGCGAUGGCGAAAGCCGAAGCUGAUGGAUAGCUGGUUAAUAUUCCAGCCCCCCUAUUUUUUUCGAAGGGAGGACGAAGAGGGUUAGAUUAAGCAUCUUAAUGGUUUGGUGUUCUUGACUGAGAGCGCUUGCUAGGAAAAUCCGGCAAGCAGCAUGCAAAAUGCAAGCUCAAGGGUAGAGACAACUCUAGUUUAUAACUAGGGUAGUUAAUUAAAAACUCUUCCGAGAAAAUUCUCUAAGGUUAAAAAAAUAGGGUUCGUACCAAAAACCGACACAGGUGGGUGAGGCGAGGAGCCUCAGGGGAACGAGUGAUUCCUCGUUAAGGAACUCGGCAAAAAAGCGGGUGUAACUUUGGGAUAUACCCUUCCUGAACCAAACGCGCAAGCGCUUGAGUGCAGGACGCAGUGAAAGUUUCCCUAGCGACUGUUUACCAAAAACACAGGUCCCUGCGAACCAGUAAUGGGAUGUAUAGGGGCUGAUACCUGUCCGAUGCCAGAAGGUCAAAGGUGACGGUUGUUUCGCUUAAGCUUCACAACAGUUAUUAAUUUCCAAAUUUUAUAACUAGGCAAAUGGAGAAUUCUUCUCUAAUCAAAAAUUAAAAUUCAACUCAAUAAAUAAAUUAUUUGUUGGGAGGAAAAUUGAUUUUUGAUGGUCUCUUAUAAAUUUGGAUAUUCGUUGCGGAGCGUAAGCGGAACAGCUGAUUGCCUGAAGCCCUGGUCAAUGACAGCGAUAACUAUAAUCGUUCUAAGGUAGCGCAAUUCCUUGCCGGGUAAGUUCCGGCGUGCAUGAAAGGUAUAACGACUAGGGAACUGUCUCAACGAGGAGCUCGGUGAAACUGCGUGUCCAGCGAAGACGCUGGGUACCCGCAGCUAGACGAAAAGACCCUAGGAGCUUUACUGUAGUUUGGUAUUGACUUUAAUUGUCAAUUGCGUAGCGUAGUGGGGAGACGUUGAAAGUUGCCUUUCGGGGCAGCUGGAGUCGCCAAUGAAACACCCAUCUAUUGAUGGUUAAAGUCUAACCUUGGUGGCAAAAACACUUUGGGACAGUGCUUGACGGGCAGUUUUUGUGGGGCGCAAUCCUCCUAAAAAGUAACGGAGGAAUCUAUCAAGGUUGGCUAUCCCGAGAUGGAAAUUCGGGAGAUAGUGUAAAGGCAAAAGCCAGCUUUAUAGCAAGGGAGGCAUCCCGCGCUAUUGCGAAAGCAGAGCUUAGUGACCCGAUGCGUCAUUGUAGAAGGCGCAAAGACACUGGACAAAAGUUACCCUAGGGAUAACAGGCUAGUGGAGCCCGAAAGUCCAUAUCGACGGCUCCGCUCGGCACCUCGAUGUCGGCUCAUCCUAUCCUGGCGCUGGAGAAGGUGCCAAGGGUUUGGCUGUUCGCCAAUUAAAAGGAUACGCGAGCUGGGUUCAGACCGUUGUGAAACAGGUCGGUCUCUAUCUGCUGUGGGCGUUCGAUACUUGAGGGGAGCUGAUCUUAGUACGAGAGGACUAGAUUGGACGAACCUCUGGUGUACCGGUUGUUCUACCAAGAGCAUUGCCGGGUAGCUAUGUUCGGAAGGGAUAAGCGCUGAAAGCAUCUAAGCGCGAAGCCUACCCCAAGAUUAGGUAUCGUGUUCCGAGCUUUAUUUCGGAAAGUAGAAUCCUAGGAGACUACUAGGUCCAACGUAAAAGUUGGGUUUCAGACCGCAAGGUUUUGGAACGAUAGGCUCUAAGUGGAAGUCCAGUAAUGGA
rnacentral:rRNA from 1 species